rnacentral:rRNA from 1 species
GAUGAACGCUGGCGGCGUGCCUAAUACAUGCAAGUAGAACGCUGAAGGAGGAGCUUGCUCUUCUGGAUGAGUUGCGAACGGGUGAGUAACGCGUAGGUAACCUGCCUGGUAGCGGGGGAUAACUAUUGGAAACGAUAGCUAAUACCGCAUGACAACAGUUAUUGCAUGAUAACUGUUUAAAAGGGGCAACUGCUCCACUACCAGAUGGACCUGCGUUGUAUUAGCUAGUUGGUGAGGUAACGGCUCACCAAGGCGACGAUACAUAGCCGACCUGAGAGGGUGAUCGGCCACCCUGGGACUGAGACACGGCCCAGACUCCUACGGGAGGCAGCAGUAGGGAAUCUUCGGCAAUGGACGGAAGUCUGACCGAGCAACGCCGCGUGAGUGAAGAAGGUUUUCGGGUCGUAAAGCUCUGUUGUCAGAGAAGAACGAGUGUGAGAGUGGAAAGUUCACACUGUGACGGUAUCUUACCAGAAAGGGACGGCUAACUACGUG